GAUGAACGCUGGCGGCGUGCCUAAUACAUGCAAGUCGAGCGAACAGACGAGGAGCUUGCUCCUCUGACGUUAGCGGCGGACGGGUGAGUAACACGUGGAUAACCUACCUAUAAGACUGGGAUAACUUCGGGAAACCGGAGCUAAUACCGGAUAAUAUAUCGAACCGCAUGGUUCAAUAGUGAAAGACGGUUUUGCUGUCACUUAUAGAUGGAUCCGCGCCGCAUUAGCUAGUUGGUAAGGUAACGGCUUACCAAGGCAACGAUGCGUAGCCGACCUGAGAGGGUGAUCGGCCACACUGGAACUGAGACACGGUCCAGACUCCUACGGGAGGCAGCAGUAGGGAAUCUUCCGCAAUGGGCGAAAGCCUGACGGAGCAACGCCGCGUGAGUGAUGAAGGUCUUCGGAUCGUAAAACUCUGUUAUUAGAGAAGAACAAAUGUGUAAGUAACUAUGCACGUCUUGACGGUACCUAAUCAGAAAGCCACGGCUAACUACGUG
rnacentral:rRNA from 1 species